rnacentral:rRNA from 1 species
AUUGAACGCUGGCGGCAGGCCUAACACAUGCAAGUCGAGCGGCAGCGGAAGGAAGCUUGCUUCCUUGCCGGCGAGCGGCGGACGGGUGAGUAAGGUAUGGAGAUCUGGCCGAAGGCGGGGGAUAACCACUGGAAACGGUGGCUAAUACCGCAUAAUCUCUAAGGAGCAAAGUGGGGGACCGUUCAGGCCUCACACCUUCGGAUGAACCCAUAUGAGAUUAGCUAGUAGGUGGGGUAAUGGCUCACCUAGGCGACGAUCUCUAGCUGGUCUGAGAGGAUGAUCAGCCACACUGGGACUGAGACACGGCCCAGACGCCUACGGGAGGCAGCAGUGGGGAAUAUUGCACAAUGGGCGCAAGCCUGAUGCAGCCAUGCCGCGUGUAUGAAGAAGGCCUUCGGGUUGUAAAGUACUUUCAGUCGUGAGGAAGGUGUUAAGGUUAAUAACCUUAGCAAUUGACGUUAGCGACAGAAGAAGCACCGGCUAACUCCGUGCCAGCCGCCGCCGUAACAC